rnacentral:rRNA from 1 species
CCUACGGGUGGCUGCAGUGGGGAAUAUUGGACAAUGGGGGGAACCCUGAUCCAGCCAUGCCGCGUGUGUGAAGAAGGCCCUCGGGUUGUAAAGCACUUUCAGUGAGGAAGAACGCCUGGUGGUUAAUACCCAUCAGGAAAGACAUCACUCACAGAAGAAGCACCGGCUAACUCCGUGCCAGCAGCCGCGGUAAUACGGAGGGUGCGAGCGUUAAUCGGAAUUACUGGGCGUAAAGCGCGCGUAGGUGGCUUGAUAAGCCGGUUGUGAAAGCCCCGGGCUCAACCUGGGAACGGCAUCCGGAACUGUCAAGCUAGAGUGCAGGAGAGGAAGGUAGAAUUCCCGGGGUAGCGGUGAAUUGCGUAGAGUUCGGGAGGAAUACCAGUGGCGAAGGGGGCCUUCUGGACUGACACUGACACUGAGGUGCGAAAGCGUGGGUAGCAAACAGGAUUAGAUACCCGAGUAGUC